AUAGUUCCGUACAUCAUCUGUUCUGCUGUAAUAAUCUGAAAUACAGUAAGGUGGUGUGGACAAAUGGUAACAAUGAAAGUGAAUGAAUUUGUAAAUGUUUAUGGUUUCUCCAAAUAUUGGUGCCACAAAUUCCAGUGAAUUUCAUGUGAAAUAAAUUAUUGGUAUGUGGACUAAUAAACUGCUUUAUAUGAGGAGUUCUACAAAGACCAAGAUUUGGAAUGUGAUCUUUGGAGGAAGUUGUCUGAUCUUUUUUACUACUCUGGGCAAGUUUGUAUGAAUGAAAUGAAGGAAUGCUAGAGGGAGCCAGCCAGUGAGGUGGAUACUUGCUCUCAGUGGGUGAGUACUGGGGGAGAGGUGACAGGGAAGGCUCUCACCACACUAUAUUACAACAGAACAAGUAGAGAUGAAUAGGCAAGAUGCAAGCACGAAGGCACAGCUUCAGAGAACAAUACGAGGGACCCAUCAGGUCCAUAAGCCUUCUGAGGGCAGCAAGGUUAUGGAAAGCAUCACUGCGAAGGAUCUUAAUGAGUAGCAUGAAGUAGUUGGAGGGUAGAGGAGAGAGAGGAACAAGCCCUGGAUCUUAAUGGGUAGCAUGAAGUAAUUGCUGCUGUUGCUCUUUUGGCCAAUCAAAGUGUUUCCCACCUCUGGUCUCAUCUCGAGUACCAGCUCACUCCUUCCUGAUUUCAGUGCUGCCAAUGCCCAUCUUCACUACCCAUGACACAGUGCUGCUAACGGCAUCCCCCCUUCGUAACGUAGUUUUAGGAACAUGAGCAUGUUGAAGUUGUUAACUUUCAAAAUCAAAUGUAGUUAUUUUAAUUAAAACAGUACUUUUCAUUAGUGAAGAGACAGGAUAAACAUUGAAUUUCAAUUUUUUGAAGAUGUUUCUAAGUUUUCUAAGAUCAAGAUAAAAGUAAAGGCUUGGAUUUUUCUUUUUUUUACUUAAAAUAUCAAUAUUGUUAUCACUACUAUCAGAAUUUUGGAUUUAUAGAUUUAUUGGUUAUCAGUUAUUGGCGAUAAAUUUAUCACCAGUUACUGAAUUAUCAGUUAUCACCGAUAACAUUAUCAUCAUUGUUUUAUUAUUUAUUGUGAUAAAUUUUUUAUUAUCAUUGCCAGCUAUGCAAUUGAGUGAUUGCUUUAUAGGGUUUACCACUGUUUCUUUAUAGCAGAUAUAUAGUACUGUGCCUUCACUUGAUGAUAUGGAUAAUGCAAACUUGAAAAGUCAGUAAACAAGUAAUGUAAUGAAGGUUGGGAACCAAUGGUUUAGGACAAAAGAAAGAGUGAGGAUUGUAUGUCUCCAUAGCACAUACUAUCACCUUUGUUAUGCGCUCAGCACACAGAGAUGGGUACCCUAUGACACAGAAACAGUAGUCAUUCCAAGGCAAAUCAGCAUAAUACCUACUUGGCUCCAGUAGGCACAAAAUGACAAAGGCACCUCCACUUUGGGGAAUCCUGGGGAUGGAUUGGAAGGAUAGGACAAGAUGCAGAUACGAGGUUGUGAUUGGAGGAGCCCAAUGGAGAUGAUAGGAUGAUAGCAUAAGCAGAAGGGUUAGAGGUGAGAAAAAGGUCAAGAAUGUUGGGCAUAUCUCUAAGACAAUCAAGAAUACAAGUAGAGUGUUGUACCAGUUGCUCUAGGUCAUGGAGGAUAGCAGAGUUAAAGGCUAGUUCACCAGGAUGGUCAGUGAAGGGAGAGGAAAGGCAAAAUUAGUAAUGAACAUUGAAGUCUCCAAGAAUGGAGAUCUCUACAAAAGGGAAGAGAUUCAGAACGUGCUCACCUUAGAAGUUAAGUAGUCAAAGAAUUUUUAUAGGAAGAGGAGUUACUUGUAGGUGAGAGGUAUACAGCACAGAUAAAUUUUGUUUUAGAGUGACUGUAGUCAUAGCCAGACGGUGAAAAAUCCAGAAGAUUCAAGAGUGUGGGUAUAAGAGCAAGUUAAGUUGUUGUACACAUAGUUGCAACAUCUAGCUUUGGACAGAAAAUGAUAGAGAAAGUAGGGGGGAACAAAGAAGGGGGUACUGUCAGUUGCCUCAGACACCUGUGUUUUUGGGAGGAAAAGAUGAAGUUUAGUAGAGAGGUUGUGUUCUACAGAUUGAAAAGAAGAUGUAAGGCCACAAAUGUUGCAGAAGUUAUUGAAGAAAAAGUUGAGGGUGGUGUCAAGACACUCACCAGAAGAGCAGUCUGAUCUGGGGACAUUUGUCCUGGGGACUCCGAGGCUGGUGUAGGAGUCGCCAUGAUAAUUUUGAAUUUUGAGUGAAGGGUGUGCAUGUAUUAGGUGCAUGUAGAGUUGUGUGAAAGAACAGAAUUUUUAAAAGGCAGGUUGUGAAAUGUUCAGUGAGGUCGCAGCUGGCUGUUCCAUCUCUUUUGUCUUUCCUUUUUGGAACAGCUUUGUGGUGUGAAGGGAUAGAGUAAAGAUAAAAAGAUUUGCCCAUCUGUAUACCAGGCCAAAAAUGUGACACAGGAUGGCCUAAACAAAGCUCCACACACUCAUGCACACAUCAUUCACACUCUUAACCCUGUUGGUCUCUGGAAGAAAGACCAGAGUAAAAAAGAUAAAUGAAUGAAAAGCAAUAGUUGUUAGUGCGGUGAUGGUCAGAAGUCAAGCUUCCUGUGCCUUGACAUUUCCUUCAGUCUGGAGUUGUCUGAUCUGCUCACAGUCUCCUCACAAAGUCUGGGAAUAGAUUGGUCCUUAGACUUGAGACUAGAGGAAAACACAUAAUCAGGAAAGUGAGUGCAAGAGUACACUCGGCUAAUGACCUCAACUGUACAAAGAUGACCAGUGUGCAGGACUCUCUUGUCAUCACACAGCCUCUGCUCACACUGGCUGCCUGUGGGACUGCUGCCUCAUUUACAAAGACCCACUAUAUUUGAUUUUUGACCUCUUGUUUUGUUUUAUUUUAUUUAUUUAAUUUAUUGGGUUUGUUAGUGUGUCUGUUGCUAGUAGUUCCUUUUAUGGUUAUUUGAUUGAUUUUCUUCUCCUGACCUCUGCUUUUCCUUAUUAUUUCAUGGUUCCAUUUAGAUUUGCAGUUAUAGGAGUAUUAUUUGUAACAAUAAUGGUGAUAAUAAAAAUAGUUAUGAUAGAGAGUCCCAAUUAAUGACCAUAACAAGCUCUCUGUUAUAAAUAUUUCUUGCCAUUAAUAAAAAAAAUAAAGUGUGCAUUAUUUUUUGUUUGUUAUUCAUAAUUGCAUUGAAACUAGGACACAAAGAAUGUACACCAGCAUGCACACAAAUGCUCACAGUGAGUGAGUGAGUGAGUGAGUCAUUCAGUCAGUCAGUGUUUGAUGCAGUACCACCAAAGUGAAAUAUCAGCAAAAUAAGUCAUGUACAAUAAUACACAGUGCACAAUAGAUAAUACAUGCUACAUAAUGAGAUGAUACAUAACACUAAAUACAUAUAAAAAUACAUAAUACAAAAGACAAUACAUAAACACUACAUAAUCAAAUUCUUUUUUUCUUUUUUUUUAUGUAGGAAGGACACUGGCCAAGGGCAACAAAAAUAAGUGACACGUAGUGCAUAUCUACCUUCAGCUCAUACAAAACAACAACACUACCAGUACAAGAUACCUAAUUAAAUAAAGGAUACACACACCGGCUCCAAUAGAGGAUACCUAAUUAACACACCUGAUCCAAUAGAGGGUACCAAAUUAACACACCUGGUCUAAGUCAAAGCCUUACCACACCUGUACUGUCCUCAGGUGCAGCCAGCAAGGAGGCAAGUGGCUCAUUUGUCAGUUCUAACCAUGAGGAGCUGGUGUGCACCUACCACGCCCACAGCCACACCAAUGGAGGGCCAACGACACCCAAGUCUGGCCGGUGUGGGUGGGAGUGCAGCUGAGAGUGGUGGUGUGAUGAGUGUGGAGGCUUAAGGCUUAUAGGUGAUGUAAGAGAUUAGCUAAGAUGUGGCUAGUGCAAAACAGUGUUGAGGUGGUAGGUGGUGUGGCUGGGUGGUGUUGCCAGGGUAGGGGGGGAGGGGUGAUGGUGUGGCAGGGAGUGAUGGCAUGGUAAUGGAGUGCUGUGAUGGAGUGUUAAGCAAAAGUGCACUCAUGUUUAUUUAUUGACUAAAGGUGAUGCUGGGAGUGUGGGAGGAGGAUCCCUUAGGGAACAGUAAGAGAGAGAGAGAGAGAGAGAGAGAGAUGUAAAAUAAUUUGUCAUUUCCUGUGAUUUCUUGUGAUUUAUGACUGCAAAAUUUACAGCUAAGAAUUAUAAAAAAAAGGAAAAUCAUGAAUCUUGAGAAAUGCAUUGAAAAGGAAAAAAAUAAAGAUUACAGUUCAUUGCAGUGCAGAAGUUUUGAUGUACAAAUAUUUCUGAACAUUCAACAAUUCUCUUCACAUAUUUUCUUAAUAUUUUAAUGUGAUGACAUGUGACCCUAGCUGUGGUGCCUUGAAAGCAAUUAGUCAAUUCAUUCAUUCAUAAAUUGCAACCCAUCUUUUUAUACUGUGCCACUUUUCACUAUAUAGAGGACAGACAGCCAUCACCACCACACAUCUGCUCCUUUCCCCUGCAGGUGUGGUGACAAGUAGUGAGGUCACUACUGAAUCUGACACACCUGCUGAGCCUGACCUGGUGUCUUUCUGUGCUACCCUGGGCAACAACCGAGCCCUGCGAGUCCCUACCCUCUUCAAGCCAGACGGGGACUACCAGACUGUGGCUGACAUGGUGGGUGGCAGUCACUCCAUUACAGAGUCAACUACCAGUCACGAGAAAGUUUGGACGAGGCCAGAAGUGCGUCAUCCCACCGCAGGUCACGGGGACAGGAACUGCAGGCCAGGCAGGGUCACCGUCCCUCCCACGGCGACCCGGAUUAUAGCUAUGCUCACCCUGUGAAGAAGCAGUACCUUCCCCCACCCCUCCACUGUCCUCCACUGACAGCAACAGGUGUAUGAGUUAGUGAUAGUGAGGUCACUGACAGACAGACUCGCCAAAUUGUUCAUUAGUAAAAGUUCCAUGGCCACUAAGUUUGUAAUCUGCUUCUGUGUUUGUAUCUUUCCAGCCUUUUUAUUCAUUGAUGUACACUUUUGCCUUUCACUGCUUCCUCCUGUAAUCCAUUCUAUAUCUUUAUAUAUUUACAUGGAAAGAUAUGUUUGCAUUAUUUGGACAUUCUCUCUCUCUCUCUCUCUCUCUCUCUCUCUCUCUCUCUCUCUCUCUCUCUCUCUCUCUCUCUCUCUCUCUCUCUCUCUCUCUCUCUCUCUCUCUCUCUCUCUCUCUCUCUCUCUCUCUCUCUCUCUCUCUCUCUAAUAUUGAGGUUCAUCUCUUGUCCAUAACAAAAGGGCAUUUCUGUCUGGUUCCUCAGGUUGGUUGACUAACCCUAAAGCUGCAGGGGUUUUCACACAUUUCUCCAUUCCAUAUGUCUCUACUCCUUUGUGGAAAGAUGUGUGUUAUUUAGGAAGCUCUCUUCUGUCCAAGUUUCUUUUCAUCUUUAUCAUCAUGUGUCAAGUCAUCCAGUUCUGGCACUAUCUUAGUGGCUGUUCUUUGUAUUCUUUCAAAUCUCUACAUGAAACAUCACCGAAUUAAUUAAGCUUAGCAGAAAUUAUGUAAUGUGCCCUACUGAUGCUGGUGUGAAGGUGAGGUGUUUGUAGUGAGCCGUGUGAUGCCUUCCCCAGUGCUGAAUAUGGAGAGAGCAGCCAGGCGACACCAUACACUGGAGUUUUCUGAGGAGGAGUGCGACCACCCCUUCAUCAAGCAAGCAGGAGUGGAGCCUCUGGAGCAGCUGAUGGCUGACCUGGAGCUGGAGAAGAUGGUUCAGGAUGCCAGCAAGACAGCUCUUUGACACUUCCAGUAGUGGUAGAAUCCUCCCAUCACCACCCUCACUCCUCUGCCACUGCUGACCACAACACUGAGGCUGUAUUCUUCAGGACCUGAUUGUUGCUUGGACUUGAGGCUUCCCUGCUUGGGACUGGCAGUUCUGCAAAUGCUGUUAGUGACAGCAUCCGUAGGACAACAGUGUAGGUGGUGUCCUCUGGAGGUCCUUCACCUGCAUGGAGCUAAGUCCACCUGUUGUAAUACUUGAAUGCGUAAGUGCUCAUCUUGAAGAUUUUAAUCACUGCAGUGGUCACCAUCUCAGACCUGACUGCCACAGGUACUUACUGUACACACUGCUAUCUAUAAUCCAGUGCUUAGCAGGUUCUUGGUUAUGGUUAUCAACUAUCUGGAUAAAUUUUACACAGCACCAACAUUAAAUUACAACAUGUACACAAUAGCAAACUUUGGAGUUGUUUUAAGCAUUGCUACCAUCAGUCCAACCUAGCUAACCAACCUAACAACCUACCCUAACCUAACUCUUCCUCAACAAUGUAGAACAUAUAUUUAACCUCAACAGUGUAGAACAUGUUUAAAAUAAUUUUUUUUUCUAGAAGUUUGGGUCCCAAAGGGUGAGCAGAAAGAAACAAUUUUUAUCUCCCAUUAUGCAACAAAGUCAUUUAGGGAAUUUGGUCAUAUUACUUAAAGCAGUGUCCAAAACAUUAGUUAACUAAAUUCCAUAUGCAGUUUACAGUUUGGUCAAGAUAAAAUAAUAAGCAAAUAUGCUGCUAGUGGGCAAA